UGGGGAAUUUUGGACAAUGGGCGCAAGCCUGAUCCAGCAAUSCCGCGUGAGUGAAGAAGGCCUUCGGGUUGUAAAGCUCUUUCAGUCGAGAAGAAAAAGCUGCAGUGAAUAACUGUAGUUCAUGACGGUAUCGACAG
rnacentral:rRNA from 1 species